AACGAACGCUGGCGGCGCGCCUAAUACAUGCAAGUCGAGCGAGAAGACGUAGCAAUACGUUUGUAAAGCGGCGAACGGGUGAGGAAUACAUGGGUAACCUACCCUCGAGUGGGGAUAACUAGCCGAAAGGUUAGCUAAUACUGCGUACGCUCCUCGGACUUCGGUUCAGGGAGGAAAGCGAUACCGUGGGUAUCGCGCUCUUGGAUGGGCUCAUGUCCUAUCAGCUUGUUGGGAGGUAC
rnacentral:rRNA from 1 species